rnacentral:rRNA from 1 species
UACGUAGGGGGCAAGCGUUGUCCGGAAUCAUUGGGCGUAAAGAGCGUGUAGGCGGCCCGGUAAGUCCGCUGUGAAAGUCCAGGGCUCAACCCUGGGAUGCCGGUGGAUACUGUCGGGCUCGAGUCCGGAAGAGGCGAGUGGAAUUCCUGGUGUAGCGGUGAAAUGCGCAGAUAUCAGGAGGAACACCAAUAGCGAAGGCAGCUCGCUGGGACGGUACUGACGCUGAGGCGCGAAAGCGUGGGGAGCGAACAGG